GCCGGGUGUGGUGGUGGGCGCCUGUAAUCCCAGCUACUUGGGAGGCUGAGGCAGGAGAAUUGCUUGAGCUCAGGAGGUGGAGGUUGCAGUGAGCUGAGACCAUGCUACUGCACUCCAGCCUGGGUGACAGAGCAAGACUCUGUCUUAA
rnacentral:SRP_RNA from 1 species